UACGGAGGAUCCGAGCGUUAUCCGGAUUUAUUGGGUUUAAAGGGUGCGCAGGCGGGAGAUUAAGUCGGCGGUGAAAUUUUGCAGCUCAACUGUAAAAGUGCCUUCGAUACUGGUUUCCUUGAGUGUGGAUGAAGUAGGCGGAAUUUGUGGUGUAGCGGUGAAAUGCUUAGAUAUCACGAGGAACUCCGAUUGCGCAGGCAGCUUACUAAACCACUACUGACGCUCAGGCACGAAGGCGUGGGGAUCAAACAGGAUUAGAUACCCGGGUA
rnacentral:rRNA from 1 species